GGUCUGACAGUACACACUGCUCUACAACUUGUAGCAAAAAAAAAUAUUUAUUCGAAUUAAAAUUGGUGUAAAAACGAAUUGUUUAAACGAAUUAAGUCUUCUAAUCGAAGUGAAAAUGUGAACGUUGUGUUUACUUUUGAAAUGAAAUCCAUUUAAAAUGCAUUUCAACACACCAACUCGCUGUGAAAAUUUCGUACAGGCAAAAAAAAAAAAAAAAGAGCCGAUUUUUAGUGGAAGAAGAAGCAGCAGCAGCCGAACGGGCAGUAAAAGCAAUCGUCGAAUACACGGACAAAGCGCAAGGCGAAUGAAACUCGUGUGAAGAGAAAACUUGCAAAAAUUACAGCAGCAACAACAGCAGCAGGCGAAAAAGUGUGUUUAGAAAAGAAAUUAAAAACACUCACAUAUACAUACCCACAUAAAACACACACACGAAUACAAGUACACCCGAAGAGAAUUGGUGCAAAAAGCAACAACAAAAACGAAGUAAAAUAGCGCGCGGUUUAAUAAUAAAUAAUUAUAUGUAUGCGCGCAAAACAAAUGAAGAGCCGGGGAGCCGCAAAGACAAAUACGAAUACGAAAAAUCAAUGAGAUUGUAAUAAAAUUCCGUAUUUUUGCUCCUCCUCCUCUCUCGCACUCUCUCUCCACCGACUCACUCUCUCGCUGUCGUUGUCGUUCUCGCUCUCUUGUCCGCACGAGCAGAGCACUUCCAACAGCAGCCUCUUAACUUGUGUGUCUGUUUGUGUUUCUUGUUGAUUUUGUGAUAAAAUUGCAAUCAACAACAUACACGAUACAACAAAAUAAAUGUAUUUAAACAAAAGUAUUAAAACAAGAGAGUAACAAAAGUGGUUGUGCAAGAAGAAGCAGCAACAAUCAGGCAAAAAAAUACCUGAAAAAAAAUAAACGGUAAAACGAAGAAGUGGCGACACACAGCGGAGAGCGCGCUAAAAGUUUAUUG